rnacentral:rRNA from 1 species
GAUGAACGCUAGCGGCAGGCUUAACACAUGCAAGUCGAGGGGUAUUGGUUUUCGGGCCAAGAGACCGGCGCACGGGUGCGUAACGCGUAUGCAAUCUACCUUUUGCAGAGGGAUAGCCCCAGAGAAAUUUGGAUUAAUACCUCAUAGUAUAGUACUUUGGCAUCAAGGAACUAUUAAAGUCACAACGGCAAAAGAUGAGCAUGCGUCCAUUAGCUAGUUGGUAAGGUAACGGCUUACCAAGGCUACGAUGGGUAGGGGUCCUGAGAGGGAGAUCCCCCACACUGGUACUGAGACACGGACCAGACUCCCACGGGAGGCAGCAGUGAGGAAUAUUGGACAAUGGGCGCAAGCCUGAUCCAGCCAUGCCGCGUGCAGGAUGACGGUCCUAUGGAUUGUAAACUGCUUUUAUACAGGAAGAAACACUCCGACGUGUCGGAGCUUGACGGUACUGUAAGAAUAAGGAUCGGCUAACUCCGUGCCAGCAGCC